UACGUAGGGACCAAGCGUUGUUCGGAAUUACUGGGCGUAAAGGGCUCGUAGGCGGCCAACUAAGUCAUACGUGAAAUCCCUCAGCUUAACUGGGGAACUGCGUGUGAUACUGGAUGGCUUGGAUGUGGGAGAGGGAUGCGGAAUUCCAGGUGUAGCGGUGAAAUGCGUAGAUAUCUGGAGGAACACCGGUGGCGAAGGCGGCAUCCUGGACCAUUAUUGACGCUGAGGAGCGAAAGCCAGGGGAGCAAACGGG
rnacentral:rRNA from 1 species